CUUUAAGGAAUAAAUGUAGGUGUACUGAACUGCUUAGUGCUCUGAAAAGGCAUUGCUGCAUGUUUAACUUCUAAGCCCUUGAGGGUGAUCAAGCCAGUUACCAAAUGUACAGUCAGCUCUCUGCAAUGAAGAAGUGUUGGCAAACAAUGUGAAAACAAGGGCAGCAGAAAUCAGAGA